rnacentral:rRNA from 1 species
AUACGCUGGCGGCGUGCCUAAUACAUGCAAGUCGAACGGGAUUCUUUGAUCAGCUUGCUGAGAGAAGGAUCUAGUGGCGGACGGGUGAGUAACGCGUGGGAAUCUGCCUCUUACUGGGGGAUAACAGUGGGAAACUACUGCUAAUACCGCAUAAGAUCUUCGGAUGAAAGGUGCAACUGCACCGGUAAGAGAUGAGCCCGCGUCCCAUUAGCUAGUUGGUGAGGUAAAGGCUCACCAAGGCGACGAUGGGUAGCCGGCCUGAGAGGGUGAACGGCCACACUGGGACUGAGACACGGCCCAGACUCCUACGGGAGGCAGCAGUAGGGAAUCUUCCGCAAUGGGCGCAAGCCUGACGGAGCGACGCCGCGUGAGUGAUGAAGGCCUUCGGGUCGUAAAGCUCUGUUCUUGAGGACGAAUAAGCCAGGGAGUGGAAAGCCCUGGUGAUGACUGUACUCAAGGAGAAAGCUCCGGCUAACUACGUG